GAUGAACGCUAGCGGCAGGCCUAAUACGUGCAAGUCGAACGGUGUCUUCGGACAUAGUGGCGCACGGGUGCGUAACACGUAUGCAACCUACCUUACAUUGGGGGAUAGCCUUUCGAAAGGGAGAUUAAUACCGCAUAAGACAGUAGCUGGGCAUCCAGCAGCUGUUAAAGAUUUAUCGAUGUAAGCUGGGCAUGCGUCCAAUUAGCUAGUUGGUGAGGUAACGGCUCACCAAGGCAAUGAUUGGUAGGGGAACUGAGAGGUCAAUCCCCAACACUGGCACUGAGAUACGGGCCAGGCUCCUACGGGAGGCAGCAGUAGGGAAGAUUGGGCAAUGGACGCAAGUCUGACCCAGCCAUGCAGCGUGCAGGAUGAAGGCGGUAUGCGUUGUAAACUGCUUUUAUACAGGAAGAAACGACUCUUGCGAGAGGCAUUGACGGUACUGUAUGAAUAAGCACCGGCUAACUCCGUGCCAGCCGCCGCGGUAAAAC
rnacentral:rRNA from 1 species